rnacentral:lncRNA from 1 species
GAAACACCAGCACCACCCGGAGCAUUCCAAGGACCUGUAGCUCCAUAGGCUGCAUUUGAACCAUAGCCUGAAGCACCAUAUCCAGAAGGAGUUUGGUUGUUCCAUUGGCUUUUCAUAGCACCAGGUGGGCCACUUACAUAACCAGCAUUAGGAGCAUUCGGGUUUCCAUACGCCCCAGCAGGACCGCCAAAUCCAGUAUUGGCACUUCCAUAACCACCAACACCAUAACUCCCAUAACCACCAUAACCAACAGCACUAUUUGCUGCUCCAUAGCCAUAACCUGGUGCACCAUAGCCAGAAUAUGGUGGGAAACCACCACCAGUGGUCUGAGGUGGCAUGAAUCUA